AAAAUGCUCUUCUUCCGGAACUUCCCUGGGCACGGAAUUUUCCCUCUUAGGAAGAUAGGAGCUUUUCUGGAAACAGACCCAACUGCGCUUUGAAAAACUCUGGAAAAGACCCUGAACCCUGUAACUCCUCUGAAUCCCCAGUCCCAGGAACAGGGACACCCAAUCAAUGCCUCACACACAGCCUGGGGAGCCCACAGCUGAGCCGGCCCUCUUAUCACGUCUCUUGGACAAAAAGUAUUGAAAAGUUCAUGUGGCAUGAAAAGACGACAGACUCAGGAGGGCCCCAGAGGCGCACACUUUGAUUUUUAUCUACGUUGCUUUCCCAGAAAGUUCCUGAGAAGUCAGACGCUGUGCUUCGUUGCAUAUCGGGUCAGCCCAAGCCAGAGGUAACUUCGUAUAAGAAUGGUCAAACCAUAGAUGAGUGUGGCAUUGUCUCCAGUCGUGAAUUCUUUGAGAAUCAAUAUAUUCAUCUAUUACAUCU